rnacentral:rRNA from 1 species
UACAGAGGGAGCUAGCGUUGUUCGGAAUCACUGGGCGUAAAGCGCGCGCAGGCCGCCAUAUAAGUCAGAUGUGAAAGCCCGGGGCUUAACCUCGGAAUUGCAUUUGAAACUGUGUGGCUAGAGUAUGGUAGGGGAUAGGGGAAUUCCUAGUGUAGCGGUGAAAUGCGUAGAGAUUAGGAGGAACACCAGUGGCGAAGGCGCCUAUCUGGGCCAUUACUGACGCUGAGGCGCGAAAGCGUGGGGAGCAAACAGG